UGUGUGUGUGUGUGUGUGUGUGUGUGUGUGUGUGUUUUCAAAGAAAUUACAUUGGGCGGGAGUUAGACACCCCACCCAGUACUGCGGCUCUUGUCCAAUUCAACACACACACACACACACACACACACACACCUG
rnacentral:miRNA from 1 species